rnacentral:rRNA from 1 species
AACGAACGCUGGCGGCAGGCUUAACACAUGCAAGUCGAACGCAUCGCAAGAUGAGUGGCAGACGGGUGAGUAACGCGUGGGAACAUACCCUUUUCUACGGAAUAGCUCUGGGAAACUGGAAUUAAUACCGUAUACGCCCUACGGGGGAAAGAUUUAUCGGGGAAGGAUUGGCCCGCGUUGGAUUAGCUAGUUGGUGGGGUAAAGGCCUACCAAGGCGACGAUCCAUAGCUGGUCUGAGAGGAUGAUCAGCCACAUUGGGACUGAGACACGGCCCAAACUCCUACGGGAGGCAGCAGUGGGGAAUAUUGGACAAUGGGCGCAAGCCUGAUCCAGCCAUGCCGCGUGAGUGAUGAAGGCCUUAGGGUUGUAAAGCUCUUUCACCGAUGAAGAUAAUGACGGUAGUCGGAGAAGAGGCCCCGGCUAACUUCGUGCCAGCAGCCGCCGUAACAC